rnacentral:misc_RNA from 1 species
CUUGCAGAAAAAGGUUUCUUAAAAACUAUUAAAAUGGCCAGUAAUUUUAAUGAGGAAGGUCCAACACGUAAAAAUGAGGAAUAUGAAGGUCCACGAAUUAAUGGAGUUGCCCAGAAAUUUCUUGCGGACCUGAACGAAGAACGAGAACGCUUAGGUAGCGAAUUUCCUUUAUGUGUUCAGGUCAUUGACGAAGCAAUUGAACGAGUGUACACGACUGGUCGAAUUCCAGGCACUGAAUACUUGGCUGAUGUUUAUAAACAAAAACCAAUGAAGAUUACUCAAAAAGUGUUCGUUCCUGUUAAGCAAUAUCCCAAGUUCAACUUUACAGGAAAAUUAUUGGGACCGAAGGGUAAUUCAUUAAGACGUUUGCAUGAAGAGACGCAGUGUAAAAUUAUUAUAAAAGGCCGUGGUUCAAUGCGCGAUCGUAAUAAGGAAGAAGAACUAAGACAAUCAGGCGAUCCUCAACAUGCGCACCUAAAUAGAGAUCUCUUCAUAGAAAUAAGCACUGUAGCAACUCCAGCUGAGGCACAUGCACGAAUUGCUUACGCUUUAGCUGAAAUACGUAAAUAUCUUGUACCAGAUAAAAACGAUGAAGUUUCACAAGAACAACUGCGCGAACUUAUGGAAAUAGAUCCAAAAUCGGCAGAAACUUAUUCAAAAACGGUGCUUAAUAAGUUCUCGACUGGUGAAGGUGCAUCUAAAUUUUUAAAUCUAAUUAAGCAUCACGGUGCUUCCCCAGAGAGUUUAGAGGAACAGUAUGAAGAAAUAAUUGAAUAUCAACCUCGAAUCCCAAAGCGUACUAUUCCAACUCCAUAUAUAAAAGUCAAUAUGGUAAAAGUUGCACGAUAGCCAACAUAGGAUUUAAUAUGAGAGUAUAUAAUGAAAAAAUAUAGUAAUAGUAGGGUGUUGUGGCGCAGUAAGUUCCUAAACCACCUAUAAGAACGAAGGAAUCCAUCUUAAAUGAUCAACAAGUUUUACGAAUGUAAUCGUCCUGUCUAACGUCAUUGAUGAACAAAACUCGGACAAAUCAAGUUUUGAGAUACAACUCAACGAGAUAAUGGAACAAUACAAUAACAAACAUAAUAACUUUAUUCGACUUACUUUUGUGCCAAUCCAGAAUGGUAAAAAUUGGGAGCAUCAAUACACGACCGACGAUGUUAUGUAUCACAAUUUGAAUGCACCUCUCAGCUGAAUCCCAGUUGAAUAGAGUCAACAA